UGGGGAAUAUUGCACAAUGGGCGCAAGCCUGAUGCAGCCAUGCCGCGUGAGUGAAGAAGGCCCUAGGGUUGUAAAACUCUUUCACCGGUGAAGAUAAUGACGGUAGCCGGAGAAGAAGCCCCGGCCAACUCCGUGCCAGCAGCCGCGGUAAUACGGAGGGGGCUAGCGUUGUUCGGAAUUACUGGGCGUAAAGCGCGCGUAGGCGGACUGGUCAGUCGGGGGUGAAAUCCCGAGGCUCAACCUCGGAACUGCCCUCGAUACUACCAGUCUUGAGUUCGAGAGAGGUGAGUGGAAUUCCUAGUGUAGAGGUGAAAUUCGUAGAUAUUAGGAAGAACACCAGUGGCGAAGGCGGCUCACUGGCUCGAUACUGACGCUGAGGCGCGAAAGCGUGGGGAGCAAACAGGAUUAGAUACCCCCGUAGUCC
rnacentral:rRNA from 1 species